rnacentral:rRNA from 1 species
AGUAACAUAUCGGAACGUACCGAGCAGUGGGGGAUAACUAAUCGAAAGAUUAGCUAAUACCGCAUAUAUUCUGAGGAAGAAAGCAGGGGACCAUUUGGCCUUGCGCUGUUUGAGCGGCCGAUAUCUGAUUAGCUGGUUGGUGGGGUAAAGGCCUACCAAGGCGACGAUCAGUAGCGGGUCUGAGAGGAUGAUCCGCCACACUGGGACUGAGACACGGCCCAGACUCCUACGGGAGGCAGCAGUGGGGAAUUUUGGACAAUGGGCGCAAGCCUGAUCCAGCCAUGCCGCGUGUCUGAAGAAGGCCUUCGGGUUGUAAAGGACUUUUGUCAGGGAGGAAAAGGACAGGGUUAAUACCCCUGUCUGAUGACGGUACCUGAAGAAUAAGCACCGGCUAACUACGUGCCAGCAGCCGCGGUAAUACGUAGGGUGCGAGCGUUAAUCGGAAUUACUGGGCGUAAAGCGGGCGCAGACGGUUACUUAAGCAGGAUGUGAAAUCCCCGGGCUCAACCUGGGAACUGCGUUCUGAACUGGGUGACUAGAGUGUGUCAGAGGGAGGUAGAAUUCCACGUGUAGCAGUGAAAUGCGUAGAGAUGUGGAGGAAUACCGAUGGCGAAGGCAGCCUCCUGGGAUAACACUGACGUUCAUGCCCGAAAGCGUGGGUAGCAAACAGGAUUAGAUAACCUGGUAGUCCACGCCCUAAACGAUGUCGAUUAGCUGUUGGGCAGCUUGACUGCUUAGUAGCG